GAUGAACGCUAGCGGCAGGCUUAAUACAUGCAAGUCGAGGGGUAACAGGUCCUUCGGGAUGCUGACGACCGGCAGACGGGUGAGUAACACGUAUGCAAUCUACCUCUAACCGGGGCACAACUUCGGGAAACUGGAGCUAAUUCCCCUUAACAUUAUGGAUCCGCAUGGAUCUAUAAUUAAAAUUCCGAUGGUUAGAGAUGAGCGUGCGUCCGAUUAGAUAGUUGGCGGGGUAACGGCCCACCAAGUCGACGAUCGGUAGCUGAUGUGAGAGCAUGAUCAGCCACACGGGCACUGAGACACGGGCCCGACUCCUACGGGAGGCAGCAGUAGGGAAUAUUGGGCAAUGGAGGAAACUCUGACCCAGCCAUGCCGCGUGAAGGAUGAAGGUCCUACGGAUUGUAAACUUCUUUUAUUAGGGAAGAAACCCUCGCAUUCAUGUGAGGCUGACGGUACCUAAGGAAUAAGCACCGGCUAACUCCGUGC
rnacentral:rRNA from 1 species